rnacentral:rRNA from 1 species
UACGAAGGGGGGCUAGCGUUGCUCGGAAUCACUGGGCGUAAAGCGCACGUAGGCGGCUUUCUAAGUCAGGGGUGAAAUCCUGGAGCUCAACUCCAGAACUGCCUUUGAUAACUGGAGAGCUAGAGUCCGGAAGAGGUGAGUGGAAACUGCGAGUGUAGAGGUGAAAAUUCGUAGAUAUUCGCAAGAACACCAGUGGCGAAGGCGGCUCACUGGUUCGGUACUGACGCUGAGGUGCGAAAGCGUGGGGA